GGGAGCCGAAUGAGCCGAGAGGUUCACGUUCGGUUCAGGUUAAUUUGUUUAUUUUCGCGAAGU
rnacentral:misc_RNA from 1 species